UACGUAGGGUGCGAGCGUUAAUCGGAAUUACUGGGCGUAAAGCGUGCGCAGGCGGUUCGUUGUGUCCGUCGUGAAAGCCCCGGGCUUAACCUGGGAACUGCGAUGGAAACUAGCGAGCUGGAGUGUGGCAGGAGGGGGGUGGAAUUCCGCGUGUAGCAGUGAAAUGCGUAGAGAUGCGGAGGAACACCGAUGGCGAAGGCGGCGACCUGGACAGACACUGACGCUGAGACGCGAAAGCGUGGGGAGCAAACAGG
rnacentral:rRNA from 1 species